rnacentral:rRNA from 1 species
AGCGAACGCUGGCGGCAGGCCUAACACAUGCAAGUCGAACGAACCUUUCGGGGUUAGUGGCGGACGGGUGAGUAACACGUGGGAACGUGCCUUUAGGUUCGGAAUAACUCAGGGAAACUUGUGCUAAUAUCGCAUGUGCUCUUCGGGGGAAAGAUUUAUCGCCUUUAGAGCGGCCCGCGCCUGAUUAGAUUGGUGGUUGAGGUAAUGGCCCACCAAGGCGACGAUCAAUAGCUGGUCUGAGAGGAUGAUCAGCCACAUUGGGACUGAGACACGGCCCAGACUCCUACGGGAGGCAGCAGUGGGGAAUAUUGCACAAUGGGCGAAAGCCUGAUGCAGCAAUGCCGCGUGAAUGAUGAAGGUCCUAGGGUUGUAAAGUUCUUUCACCGGGGACGAUAAUGACGGUACCGGGAGAAUAAGCCCCGGCUAACUUCGUG